rnacentral:rRNA from 1 species
GAUCCUGGCUCAGGAUGAACGCUAGCUACAGGCUUAACACAUGCAAGUCGAGGGGCAGCAUGAUCUUAGCUUGCUAAGAUUGAUGGCGACCGGCGCACGGGUGAGUAACGCGUAUCCAACCUUCCCUAUAGUAGGGGAUAGCCCGUAGAAAUGCGGAUUAAUACCCUAUGUUGUAUUUUGAGGACAUCUGACGAAUACCAAAGGUUCACCGCUAUAGGAUGGGGGAUGCGUCUGAUUAGGUAGUCGGCGGGGUAACGGCCCACCGAGCCAACGAUCAGUAGGGGUUCUGAGAGGAAGGUCCCCCACAUUGGAACUGAGACACGGUCCAAACUCCUACGGGAGGCAGCAGUGAGGAAUAUUGGUCAAUGGGCGAGAGCCUGAACCAGCCAAGUAGCGUGCAGGAUGACGGCCCUAUGGGUUGUAAACUGCUUUUAUGCGGGGAUAAAGUGAGGGACGUGUCCCUUAUUGUAGGUACCGCAUGAAUAAGGACCGGCUAAUUCCGUGCCAGCCGCCGC